rnacentral:rRNA from 1 species
GACGAACGCCGGCGGCGUGCUUAACACAUGCAAGUCGAGCGGUAAGGCCCUUUCGGGGGUACGACGAGCGGCGAACGGGUGAGUAACACGUGGGUGACCUGCCUUCGAGCGGGGGAGUAACGUCCCGAACGGGACGCUAAUACCGCAUAACAUCCUGCCUUUUAAGUAGGUGGAGAUCAAAGACCGGGGGAGUUCGCAAGAACCUGGCACUUGAAGAGGGGCCCGGCNCCUGAUUAGCUAGUUGGUGGGGUAAUGCUCACCAAGGC